CUCUGAUGUCCUCCAAGUCUCCUUCCAAAUCGAACAGCUGCUGAUCACCGCCGCUCUCUCCAAGUUCUUCUUCUACAUCCUCUCUCAAAGCCUCGUCGUCGAUGUCGCAGACUUCGAGGCUCCAAAUCGGCGCAGUUUCGAUUCCAGAAGCAGUGCGGUUUGGGUUUCGAAGGAGAUCAAAUUCAGCUCAUGUCUACUGUCUGUGAGCAAUCAUUUGGAUGAAGCGUCUUAUCUCAAGUAGUAAAGCAAGAUAGGGAGUGUAUUGCCAGAGCCACCUCAGUUUUAGGUGAUCUUUUUGUUGCACAGUUUCGUACUCGGUGAUACUUUUUGUCGUUGUGAGAGAUUGAGCAUGGUAUUUGUAAAAUGCGGUUGUUUUUUUAAUAGUUUUUUUUCACAAGGCAAGAGGUUCCAAGCUAUCAUUAGAGAUGGGAACAGAGAAAGACUUGCAGCUUGAUGCUUAAAGCAAUGUGAUGGUAGCUAUAGAGUUAUUUAUGAUCUUUGUGGUAGAUGAUACCGGGAAUUAAAUUCCUCUUUUAAACUGAUAUCAAAAGUACGUUAUGUUCUAUGAUAUUCUUCAUUUAUACUUUUUUUUCUUU